AUCUAGAACUCUGCCCUGCUUACCUCUCAGAAUCAAGACAAAGAUCAGCAACAUCUUUAAGUUGUGAAGACUGGUUGGGUGGGAGCCUUUAUUUUGGGGGGAAUUGAGCCUUGGAUGGGAGCACAAAUACUCAGAAGGACUGAUUUUGCAGAGAAUUACGCUAAUCUGCCCAAACAACUCUGCAGUUGGAAAAUGGCUUCAGGGGAUCCUUGUUUAGGUCUAGGGCAGAUCAUCCCUGGUAUUUAGGGCUCCCUGAGGGCACACCAUGGGGCUGACAGAGGGAGGCCCAGCACAGGCCAUGUUCUCUCCUGAGUGGGAGAAGCUGGCCUAGGGCCCAUGCCUCCAAAAGGAAGGCUACACAUGCCUGUGUUGUUGCUAAGCAAAUGUGAUGGUCUUCACCACUAUCAUUUAUUGCGCCUGGUACGUGGAAGAUGCCCACACAUAUUCAUUGAGUGAACUGAUUCCAAUAUAAGGUAAUGCCCAUGCUAAUCCAAUACUCUCUUGAGAUCUGCAGCUUGUCAGGGCAGAAGUAAUAGAUAUUACUGAGGAUUAAAUUAAUCGGGGGGAAAAAAGAAAUAACUAAGCAAACCUCUCCAAUUAUAGGAUAAUACAUAUAUAUGUAUUGUGGCUAAGGAGUAGGUAUUACAGGCAUGUAUUACACAUGCACAACCAAAAGAAAUAAGAACAUGAUUCAAUUGCAUAAGACUUUACUAGUGACAAUGAUUUUUUUUUUAAAGAUUUUAUUUAUUUAUUUGUCAGAGAGAAAGAGAGAGCACAAGCAGGGGGAGCGGCAGGCAGAGGGAGAAGCCGGCUACCCGCUGAGCAAGGAGCCUGAUGUGGGGCUUGAUCCCAGGACCCUGGGAUCAUAACCUGAGCUGAAGGCAGACGCUUAACCGACUGAGCCACCCAGGAGUCCCACUAGUGACAAUUAUUAAUAUGUGCCUCGAACCAUGCUGGCCACGGCUGCGGGUAGGAUAGAGAAAGAAAUCACCCACAGUGUGACAAUUGGAGUGAAAGACAGGAUGGUACCUGGGGGAUCAGAAAGGAUUGGAGGAGGAGGUGGCAUUUGAUGCAGGCAGACAAGGGGAACUGGGAGAACAAUCCAAGCAGGGAAUCACGUGUCAAAUGGAAACUCUAGGGCACGUAUGAUGAAGCCACAAGGGCUCCUGCUUAGCGAGCAUUUGCUGUGUAAGUGCUGGGCUAAAUGCUCUGCCUACACUACCUCAUUUGCUCCUCACGGUUACUCCACGAGGAAGGUAUUUUUAUUCCCAUUGCACAUGUGCAUUCAGACUGGUCUGACUCCCCCCAGUCCUUGCUCUUCUGUAAUCCAGUGCGAAUUGAAUGAAUUGCUCCGAACAAAGAUAGGAUGAAGAUAAAUCAUGGAACGUUUUGUUUAUGGGUUCUCGGGGGCCAUUAUUUAACAUAGAAGCUCGGGUGGGGGGAACAGAAGGAGGAAGAAUGAGAUUAGAACUGUGUCACUCUGGUGGCCAUCGGGAGGGUGGACAAGAGAUCAGUUAGGAGGCUGUGGCCAUGAUCCGGGCUUGGAGGGAGAGACUCAGUGCUGGCCCUCAGGCCUUGCUACUCAGUCAUGUGGUCCGGGGGCCAGCAGACUCUGAGUCACGUAGAGAUGGUCAGAAAUGCACACUGUGAGCCCCGCCCAGACCUACUGAAUCAGAGUCUGUGUUUUAACCUGAUACCCAGCCAGUUCUAACGCCACUGAAAUCUGACCAGCAUUUGCCGUAAAGGACAGGAGCUCUGCCUGGCCGUCACACUCCUCCUAGAGGUGCACAUCUGUUUUGGAUGGUAGAUCCCUUUGAGAAUCAGAGGAAAGUCAAGGACCCUCACCCCUGAAAAAAGUGCUGAUGCAUACCAACAGUCGCCUACAACUUCAGGGGAGUUGCAGAGCCCCGAAGAGCAAGAGGACUGCUGCUGGUCUCUUCUGAUGCCCACAUCCUCACUGCUGGAUUCUCCCUGGGAUGCCACCUGGGCCUCGCACAACUUCCUGCUCAGGCACGACUGAGUAGGCAGCCUUCCACCCACUUUGUCCACACCCUCCUCACGGGUGUGAGUGGCAUCUCAAUACUCUGCCACUCCCAGACCCACUGAGGCAGCAGGACGUGAGAAUGUGUAUGCCCCCAGGAACAGCCACCAGUGAUUCCAAGACCUGUUGCCAGCUUUCAGAUCGUCUUGCUUAGAAAAAAGCUGCCUGUAGAAGCAGACCAGAGGAAGGAGCUGGUGAAGGCCUGGGGAGCAGGGAAGCAAAGUCCAUGGUGCUCGAGAUGCAUCCACACGCUUGUUCAUGUUUACCCCUUGUCUUCUCUGUGUGGAAAAUCAUUAUGUGUCCUUCAAACACAGGCUCAAAUGUCUGAUUCUUGGUGAACACUUCCCCUGUCUGGCCUCCACUCUUCCAGCCUUGCCCCGGCCAAAGGACUGCCACCCUGUGAGCCCACAGCACAAACCUCCCUGAGACCCCUGCUCACCUCAUCCUGUCCCGGCUCUAGGUUCUCCAGCACCAGGCAGGACACCCAGUCUCCAGUGCAUGGAAUUCGAGCACUCCCCCCAGCCCAGCAGGUUAUCUGGGACAUAGAACCUCUCAGAAAGUGCUAGCUGAGGGAACACAAGGGAAGGAAGAAGGGCAGAGUAAAGACAGGAGAUAGGGAAGACUAAAAGAGCCAUAGGGGUCACCAUGUAGGAACGACAGCUAGUGAAAUCUGAUAUAGUGCUGAUCCCUUGAGCACAUGUGACCUUUGCUCUGACCCAUGGGACAGCCACUCCAGGCACUUACCUGGUCACCCCAGAACUGGGAACAGAGUACACAGACAGAGGGGAGUACAUUUAUGAUUUCACCAGGAAUCUCAUCCUACGUCUGUGGAUGCUUAUAACAACUCUAUGCGGUAAGUAGGGUAAAUGUUAAUAAUGUCACUUUACAGCUGAGAAGAGCUAAGAAACAUGUCCAAGGUCGCAUGGCUAGUGAGCAGAGGACAAGUUAAUGCAAAUUCAUUGCUAGACAAAAGUAGCUCAGAUUCUGAAGUUUGGAAGAACCCUGGCUUAUCACCUGAUCUUUCUUGCCCAAAGCCUCUUCGAGAGCGGGGUGGUGGAGCUGGGCUGGAGUCACUCCGGUGUCCGGGAGCUCGGCGCAUACACCUCCUCACUCAGCUCAGUCCUCUCCCCCCUGAAGACCAGUCCGAGGCACUGUUCCCCUUCCGCUCUCCCAGUUCUGCCCUACCGCACCUGAGAAGCCAAAGCCCACAUCUCGGACUGAGAGGAGGCCCCGCUUGCCCUCCCGGGCAGCACCCCGACCCAGUGUCAGCUCCGAGGCUCUCUUGCUCCUCACUUGGCACAACACUUGUCUGUGGGGAUCUAUUUUCUGGUGAAGGUGUAUCAAAGGGGUGACAUCUUCUGCCAUUCUUGGUUUGCUCAGGAGAGAGGGAGCAUCUCAAAG